CCUUUGUAAACGCAUAGGAGGGAUGGGUUGUUUUUUAAGUAUUCAACAAGAGAGCUCUCUCUCCCGUCCCUGUCUCGGACACUCCACUGAAACUCCCCGGCCAUAUCUCUAGCUCUUUGAAAAGAUUGGAAAGGGUCUCCGCGGGAGAAGAGGAGAGGAGAGUGAGAGCGAGAGGGACAGCGAAUGGGAGCAGGGUAGACGCUCUAAUAGAAUCUGGGAAUCGGCAAGAGUAAAAAGGAGAAAGUGGACGGCAGGACAUUAAAGAAGAAGCGCCAGCGACUGUGGUUAACGGUAGCGGAGCAGCUUUCUACGUGGGCAAACCGGGCACCGAUAAGGCAAAGAGGAACACGGUGGCCUGCCGCUUGGACACACAGUGGGACAUGUUGGUGUGGUGAAGGGCUGACACUCGGAUGAGAUGUAAUUUAUGGCAAGUGUUGUGUGGUCAUAGGACAGUGACAGUGACACGUCUGCUUAGAAGCACGAGAAUUGCGACCACUUGCCACGAAGAGCGGUAAAUAUAACAUAAAAGGUGAAUUAAUCAUUACUUUGAUUUUAAGGAGCUGCUCUCUUUGAAAUCCAUUGCCCAGUCCCGAUUUGUUCUGUUUCAUUAUGUACAGGAGUGUGUGUUUAUCGAGUACACUCCAAGCUUUUCUACUCAGAAAUGAAUCCAAGCAUCCUGGAACUCAAAUUCUUCUUCAGUGCUUUGUUUUGGAAAAAGUCUUUGGUAUGCUUUUGGGAAACUGGCAGCUAAUCUUUUCAUAGCUAGGGGUCAACAUAACACUCGGUAUUAAUAAAACAAAUAAGACUGGGAUGGAUAUUAAUGAUGAUAUAUACAGAUGUAGUGUGCAUGAGCUUGAAUUAUGUGUGAGAGCAUGCAAAAGGAGAGACACUCUCACACAUUUGUGUGUUUACUUGCCUGUGUGUGUGCGGGCGUGAGAUAGCCGAGUCAGUUUCCCUCAGAUGUUGCCUUUAACCUUUAACCCCAGAGCUGAGGUCAAGCCCUGACAAAUGAGAUGGUCCAGUUCUGGCCAGAUCUGCAAACAUUCCACAACAAUCUUCUGUCCUCCUCCUCUCCUCUCCUCAUAUCCGUCAUUCCUCACCCCUUCACUCCUCUCAGUGUGUCUCUUCUACGGCUUCGAGAGCGAGUCAAAGAAUGUUCUCACUGCACACAAACAUGUUUUAUUGUAUUUGCUGUGGGAAUCUUAAAGCACACACACCCUUCAAAUUAAGAAUUACAGCACUGGUUAAAUUUAAUACCUCUGACAUCUGCCGUGUUUACAGAAGGAAGGAAAACAAAAGAGUAUGAUCUGAGAGGAGAAGCUGCGGUAAAGAUUUGGAUAUUACAACCGUGCACUUUGAAAGCACACUGUGUGUGUUUGGAAAGCCUGUCAGUGAUGUCAAGGAUGAGAAAUGUUGCAGUGUGGUUUUUUACACACGCUGCUGGCUCUAGCAUUUCCGGCAACAUUUCUCACACUGCCUCCCUCACACCAUCCGCUCUGCUGCAAUAUCCCCACAUUUUUCCAUCCUUUCGAUUUUUUCCCCUCCCCUCCACUCCACUCCUCGCUUUCCAUCCCUUUACUCCCUUUACCCUUCCUCUUUGCUGCCCCACCCACUCCUAAUCUCAACCUCUCCCUUCCUUCUUCCUUCACCCUCCACAUUCACCCCCCCCCUCCUUUUAUUCCUCCGCCCACAAUAUUUUUUCAGAUUUUUUUCUAACAUGCUGUUCCUCAGAAUGCUACCACCUGUGUCUUGAGGAAGAAAGGAGGCAACCACCCGCAUUCUUUUUACCAGGAGCUGGUAAAGGUAAGUGGAGCCCCCUGUUAAAAUAAGGCAACAAAUAAAGGUUUUGUUGUAGUGUUUCUGCAUAAACUGUCAUUUUUUUAACGCAAUGAACCUCAUCACCCUUCAUCAGCUACAAAAGUCACUGUUAUAUGAACACACACAGUCACCAUCGAUGACUGUGCAGCCACAAUUGUUGCAAAGGAGCCUCGAGACCAACAAAGCUGGCUGAGACGGUAGUGCCGAAUGGAUCACGCUCUUGAGUUUGAUUUCAUAAUGAUGUAAGAUUACUAAGAGGCAAUGCAACACAGCAAAGAUCUUAAUAAAAAACACAUCAAUCUUGA